rnacentral:lncRNA from 1 species
UUGGCCCUCAUUGCCUGAUUAGCAUGGGCACAGCAGGUUAGCUUGCACUCAGACAGCUAGCAUGGCGUGCAAGUUGCCCCAACUCUUGCUCCCGCAGCUGGAGGCGGGGGCAGAAUAAAGCUCGCCUGACCUCGCACAGACCUGGGUCGAGUAAAGGUCAAGCUUUGAUUUUGUCUUUUAAGACCCCGGUGUUUCUGGAACUUCAUGAAAGCUGUUUACCCUCUUUAAGGUUCAGAGAAUGAAGAGUGGAAGUUAUAUGGGACUAUUUUAGAGAAGUUUGUUGUUUGAGCAAGAACCCGAGACCCUAGGAAAGAGUAGAACUUGAGUUUGAUGGAAUCAAAACGAUCCAACAUUCAGUAUGUUUGCAUGUACAGCUACACUUACAGCUUCAUUUGGCAAUUUAACCACAAUUUAACCAUCCAAGUUCUCAUUUUGCAACUAUUGCGGCAAUAUGCCGUCUUUCAGCUGAUUACUGCUGGGUUGCCUCCGGGUGGACCAAAACAUACACAUUAAUGAACAGGCUAAAUGAGUGAAAACACUGUCACUUUUACAGACCCAUACCUCUCUGUCCAUACAGAGUAUGUUUACACCCUUUCUUCUUCUGUCAAAGUUUUGUUUACCACUCAGCUUCCCAGCAAUAAAUUGAGACAAAUGUUUUGCUAAAUUAUCUGUACUGUUGGCAUUACUGAUGUGUAGCUGUGAGUGAGGAGGCUAAAGGCCUGCCUCAAUUUUCUGACACACCUUAAGUGGUCUAUAAGGUGGCUAGGGAAUGGGUUCAUCAAACUGAUGAGAUUAAAACAGCUGGAGCAUCUCUGAGUCUCUUGCAAGUUUGUUUCAACAACCUGCUGGUUUGUAUGAUCAUGAGGCUACACCAUGUGGUAAAUACUCUUCGUUUCAGGUGCGGUUACUUAACCUGUUUGGUAAUCCUUGUUUUUAGUAGGAGUGGAUCCAUAAGUUGACAUUUCUUUUGAUGAACCUGGCAUUCCUUGCAUGUCGUUUCUUGUUUACAGUUGUAGUCUGAUCCAUGAGCUUUGAAUCAACAUCUGUCCUCCUCGAUCAGAAAGUUAUUCAUAGUUGCUACAUCUCCUUUUCGGUGUCGUUGGUUCCAUCAUAUUCUAUUAGAAAGAGUUCCCCAGCUGGUCAUGCCUUUUUUGGGGGCUAAUAAGGAUGUUAGAGGUUGGCAAAUCCUUUACCCGUUUGAUCUGAGUGAUCCGACACAUGCAUUGGUGAUAUUUAUCAAAAUAAACACAAGGUACUCAGGCUUUAAUGAAAGCCUGUGCAUCUCUCAGCUCCCACACACCAUAAAUAAGAUGAUUUCACAAUAGAGGUAUCAUAUGCUCUUUUGAAAGCUAAUGCUAAUCACUUGAAUCUUGUUUUUAAAAUGGUUUUACAAUAUGCACAAGGCCAGGUUGUAAUCAAGGUUUAGCAGUCAGCUGAGUCAAAUAUUGGGAAACUAGGUAGCUUCUAGCAUUCUUUCUUUCAAUCUUAAAACAGCAGUCUUCAGGGUAAGACAACUGAAAAAUGAAAAGAAACAACCCCCAGCUAAAUCCCUGCUAACUAGAGGGCAGUCCCCAGGAUGGAAGCUAAAGACACAUCCUGAAAUACUAACAAAAAGACACUGUGAUCCAGUUGUUGGCCAACACAGAGUCAUUCAUUCCUGACUGAAUGCAGCGCCGCACAUUAAAAUAUUAAGACUAGAGGGACGCAGCAGCAGUAUGCAAGCCCUGUUCCUGAGGCAUCACUUAGAGAACAAUUGCUUUGGCAAUUACUAACUGUGGAACAUGAUCCGAGGGAAAUACAUUCAUGCUUUCAGUUUCUCCCUGAGGCGAACAAACUCUGCAAAUUUAAUAACAGGCAGUCAAACAGAGAAAGCAGCGGAAGGCAGCUACAGACUGAGCAGUUGUCUGGGUUGGGAAAGGAUGUGAAAUGUUAGGCAGCAGGUUGUCAUGGUGCAGUAGAGUGCUGUGACUCGUCUUCGUACACUUUCUUUCCCUGAACUCUUCAUCCACCUUUCCUGCAUUUUCCUGUAUUACUCUCAUGCCUGUCUGAGAAUUUGCCUGCACUUUUAAUUAUGCAGUACUCAUAAUAAGGGACAUCCUAGUCAUAAUACUUUCUACUUAUCUUAAAAGCACUCGGGUAUCUCUUUUCUUGUUAUCUGCUUUCACUUGCUAAGAGUUGCUAAUAGAGUUGACAGUAUUGACUUUGUCAGAGUGCUGCAAAGAUUGCUAACACUCGGGUUAUGAGUCAGGCUUGUGGGUUCUUAGACUGAUUUCUCUAAAGUGGCGUGUUGCUCAAUGACACUUCUGAAAUGUGAACUUCACAACAAGAUGGACAACACAAGUGCUCCCUAAAAGUGAAGCCAAAAUAUUAAGAGCUCCCCCUGUUGAUAUGUGUUCAAACUUCUCAGAUGUUAGUUCUAAUGCUGAUUUAUGUAAAUGUAUCUGUUCAUUUGUUAAGGUUAAGAGAUCCUGUGACAAACAUUAUAUUUGGCGCCCCCUCCACGGACAACAUGUUACCUCAUAUUUCCUUGCUGAAUUUAAUCCUCUGACGCGUACGUCUUGCUAUUUGACAUAAAAUUAAUAAUAAUUUUGCUUUCAUUUUAACACCCAUGAUCAUCUCUAUCCAUUGAACUCUUUGCUUUGGAAAAUAAACACAACUUAAUGUGCAGUUAACAAUCUGACCUCAAAGCUCUCGAUAAAGGUGACAUUUUACAGAUAGUCUUUCAAAAUGCAAUUAAUUUCCCCGCUUUGUGUUAAAAAUAUCACUGCAACAUAUCCGAUGAUUAAACCCGAGACAUUUUACCAUUUCCAAGUACUCGAGCCUCCGCGGGUCAGCGGUUCAGUGUGAUGUCACACUGUGGUCCCUGUAUGCAGGGCAAUCGAUUACAGGCAGCAGCAGCAGUGGUUGCCGGGGGCAACGGGCGGAACAGUCAAGGUUGCUAGGUUGCAGAUAAGAACACAGGCUCUCAUUAAUUGCCUUCUGCCUCAGCCAUGGCAAAGUACCGGGUGGUAGAUGUUGCCUCAGGAUACAGCACCACAUUCACUUAAUUCACACAAAUUCAAAUACACAUUCAGUCGAUGUAAACCAACAGGAAAACACAAAGUUAUAAUUUUAUGACCUUUCUACACCAGCAUCCAUCAACUGAAGGCAUGGAGGAUCUGGGUAGAGAUAGAGGGCAAGGACGACACAAGGAAAGAGGAAGUUUUAUUAUCCGUUUUUACAUCUCCUGUGAGGAAGAGAGUUUUACCGUUCAGCCAGAGAUAUAUGUGAUGGGGAAAAAUAAUUUGAAACACCUGAUCUUGAAAACUAGGCAUAACUAGGAAUGUCUGAUCUGAAAAUUCACCCCUCAUUGUGUGUUGUUUUCUGCCUGAAAAGCCUUCAAAAUGUUUGCAUUUAUGUGGCCCAAAUGAAAUCCGGUCUCCAUGAUUUCUGUUUGUCAGCUAUUAAAUGUGACCAUCUUAAGUUUUUUUUAAACUGCUAAAAAAUAAGUCAGACAGUGUAGUAGAUAAUUGCAUCCUCCAGGCAGUGACGAUGACCCCUUUAGCUAGUCAUGUGUCCGACUACUCUUUCUAGGCGGAAACAUAAUCCACAAGCCCCUCUGACAGCCAAGCUUGAAGUAUUUUUGAUUUGAUUAGACAGCUUUUGUGAUCAUGUACUGCGCUGACUUAAAUUAAAGCUGAACGGGGAAGAACAUCACUACAACACUGCUGCUUCUUGUCUAAUUGUGGCACUCAUUUGAAGACUGUACUACAACAAGACACUUUAUACAUCUCCCUUUUCCUGAAAACACUAUUAUAAAUAUAAUGUGCACCCGUCUUCUUGACCUUGUAUGUUUAGAGUUACAGCUCGACCAAGCAUCUGUUUACUGGGCUUGUUGUUUUCUCCCAAGUCUAUCCUAUAUACCUUUCACAACCAAACAGCUAUCAAGUCCCACCUUGUUCAAAAUAAAUCCUUUGUUUUUGGCAUUAAUGUCCGUAUUAAGGAUAUGGUUGCCUGGCAUAAACUGAGGUUACUAUAGCCAGAUGAAAGCUCAGUAAAACCUUUUAGCCAGAGCUGAGCCGCAGAGUUAAGCCUCAAAGACCCGUGUUCUCGUCUUGUAAAAGGGGGAUAGAAGAGUGGCAUGUUGUGCAAACACACUAAGGCGAGGUAUUCUUGGACCAAUGCUCUUCAAUGUGGUGACUGCCCUUCCACUGAACCCUAGUAUUUCUUUGAUGCUCAGCUUACACAACUUGAAUGAGAGUUGAAUUGCGAAUAUUUGGACCAAUUAAAAGGCAGGUAGUGAAGGGUUUGGAUAUUGAGAGGUUAGGACUAGAUGAACAGAUAGUAUAGAGUAGGCUUUGGGCAAGAGGAGGGGAUAUAGAAAAGAGGCUUUUAACUUGAACCCCAGGUGUUGAAAGAUGGAAGAGUUAAGCUGAGGGAACAAAACUUGUGCAUAUGGUAUUAUGAGAGAGGACAAAGGGAAGGAAAGAAAAAGAAAACAAAGCACUAGGGGUAUCAAAUAGUUACAUUUCAAUUCAUCGAGUGGACACACUUUGCAUUUUAAAUCAGUUUUAAACUGCAAGUUCGAGGCUGCACGUGUCCAUGUAGAUUCUCAUUCAUCCAAGUCAUGGUUUUCUUGAAGACUCCAAAAUCAGGCAACUGGACUGUGUAGAGUUGAGAAGAUGUUUCGCCUCUUAUCCAAGAAACUUCGAGCCCCGAGCUGCACCUUGAUGCAAUUGUCAGCAUUGUUGCUUCAUAGGAAGAAGGUUGCUAGUUGGAAUCUCUAGUUUGCAUGUCCUUUACCUGCUUGCAUGUGCUUUUUUUUUUCGGUGCACAGUUUUCCUCCCACAGUCAAAAGACAAGCUUGUUGGGUUAAUUCCUCGCUCUAUAGAUUUCCUGUAGUUGUGAUUGUCUGCGUGAAUGGCUGUCUGUCUUCAUUUGUCAGCUCUGAGAUUGGCUGACUGCCUGUCCGGGAUGUACGCUGCAACAGGGUAACAACAUGCUAUCCUGAAGAAAUCCUUUAAAGUCAAGUUUUCAACAACGUGGACUUGCUUGCUCUCAUUUUCCAAUCAUUUGGCAAGCAUAACUUCUUCAGUUAAAUUCUUACCACAUGUUCAACUCACAGUUUAGAUUAGUGCUCUGAGGACUUUUGUGAUAUAAUUGCCUUCUGACAUCAGUCUAAAUAGCUCACUGGCAGUAGCUCAAGCUGUCUCUGAGUGCAUUUUACCUUUUGACAUUUUAACUGAACCUUAUGGGGGUUUAAAAAAGUAAAAUGUUGCAGUGUCGUCAUUAUUUCUAUUAUGCAGCAGCUAACUACUUUGGCGCUAAAAAGGAUAUACUGCAUUAACCUGACUAGAAGAUGGAGAUUUUUUUCUCUUCUGAAUGCGUCUAGUUAAAAUGGGGUUGUCUUAUAUUUGCUGUUUAAUUAUCACAGAGCUACCAAUGCCAAACAUUAUUGCUUUUUCAACAGUAGGAUAUGGAAACUUACUUAAAAAUCCACUCGCUUUGUGAGGCCUACAGCUUUCUGUUCUGGAUGAUCACACAUACAAAAUCAAAGGAAAUUAAUCAAACAAAUUGGGAUUAUUUGGCAACAGUUUCAAACACCUCUGACAAAACUGACAUUACAUAUUCCCCUAAAACGGUUUGAUAACCAUGUAAGAAUGAACAUUUAUCUUUUCUUGAGAUUUGCUCAAGUCGUAUUUGUAAGAAAAUCCAUUCAACACCAUUCACUGCUUAAUAUUUCAAAGGGCAGAUGAAAUUGUACCCACCGUAUGAGCUAAAUCUAAGCCCCCAAAACAUCUUACAGGUCCCAGUUUGCUCGUAUCAGAUCAAAUGUAAAAGGUGUCAAAGAGAAAACCUCUUUACUGUAGUUUACAUCAAAGAUUCAACUCUUCAUUGUAGUUUGGAUCAAAGAAAACAAACAGUCAGAGUGUUAAAUCUCGAAGGCAAUGGGGAGAUGGAGGUUUUGAAGAGAUGUGGGGGUGGAAAUGUAGAGGGACUGACAAAGGAAUGGCUAAGGGCGAUAAAAUGAGGAAAAAUACAGAGGAAAGGAGGAAAAAGUUUGAUAAAGGGAAAAGGUAACUGGAAGAAGAGAUGGGAACAGAGUUGAAGAGGAUGAAAUGAUUGCAAAAGAAGAUAGUGAAAGACU